AGAGUUUGAUCUUGGCUCAGGACGAACGCUGGCGGCGUGCCUAAUACAUGCAAGUCGAACGAGAAUUUCUUACACCGAGUGCUUGCACUCACCGUAAGAAAUUUGAGUGGCGGACGGGUGAGUAACACGUGGGUAACCUGCCCAAAAGAAGGGGAUAACAUUUGGAAACAAAUGCUAAUACCGUAUAACCAUGAUGACCGCAUGGUCAUUAUGUAAAAGGUGGUUUUGCUAUCGCUUUUGGAUGGACCCGCGGCGUAUUAACUAGUUGGUAGGGUAACGGCCUACCAAGGUGAUGAUACGUAGCCGAGUUGAGAGACUGAUCGGCCACAAUGGGACUGAGACACGGCCCAUACUCCUACGGGAGGCAGCAGUAGGGAAUCUUCCACAAUGGGCGCAAGCCUGAUGGAGCAACGCCGCGUGAAUGAAGAAGGUCUUCGGAUCGUAAAAUUCUGUUGUUAGAGAAGAAUAUGAGUAAUAGUAACUGAUUAUUCACUGACGGUAUCUAACCAGCAAGUCACGGCUAACUACGUGCCAGCAGCCGCGGUAAUACGUAGGUGGCAAGCGUUGUCCGGAUUUAUUGGGCGUAAAGGGAACGCAGGCGGUUUUUUAAGUCUGAUGUGAAAGCCUUCGGCUUAACCGGAGAUGUGCAUUGGAAACUGGAAGACUUGAGUGCAGAAGAGGAGAGUGGAACUCCAUGUGUAGCGGUGAAAUGCGUAGAUAUAUGGAAGAACACCAGUGGCGAAAGCGGCUCUCUGGUCUGUAACUGACGCUGAGGUUCGAAAGCAUGGGUAGCGAACAGGAUUAGAUACCCUGGUAGUC
rnacentral:rRNA from 1 species